GCUCCGGCCGAACAAAGCCCGCUGCAUAACGGCCGGAGUUCUGAACCAGAGAAGAGUGCAGGGAUGGAGGUUAUGAGAGAUGCAGAGACUGAGUCUGGAAUUCAGGUUUAUGGGUUGCACCACUGUGGGCAAAUUCUCCUGCUUGUGGAUCUUUGCAGCUCCUCCAGAGUUACCACGGGCCUCUUAAAUGCUUCUCCACUGGUGGAUGACCAAGUCUUUGCAGGUCUGCUGGUGUGCCAUACUCUUUCCAUUUUUAGAUGAUAAUUUGAAAAGUGCUCUAAUAUAGUUAUAGCUUUGAAUAUUGUUUUCCAACCCACUCUAAAAUUCUUCACAACCUGAAUCCUGGUCUUUCUGGUAUGAGCUUCAUGAUGUUUGAUCACUAAGGUUCUCUAACAAACCCUCUGAGGCUUUUAACAACAUAGCUGUAUGUAUACUGAGCUUACAUAAAUGAAAUUUAUUAAAAACGUGA